rnacentral:misc_RNA from 1 species
GUGAAGUUUAAGGAUUUUAUAGCAACAUAAUGAAGUUGAGGGACGGGCACGAAACCACAUCUAAAGCUUAGGGAAGGAUGCUAUAAUUUUUACCUGAGAAUAAACACUACAUAAAUACCAUUUUGUGUAAUAAAAGAACUGUGAUACAUUAGGAUGGUGAUUUAAAAGAAUUUAAAGCAUGAUGUGUAUCUAAAAGAAGAACCAUGUUACACGUAUGUGUGUACCUGUAAACAAAUUGCUACAAGGACCAGCAUAACAUGGAAGACAUUGAUACAGGAAGAAUACAACAGAAACAAUAUGUAAAUACCAUUUUUAUGCAAGCAUGUCCUUACCGACUCAAUGUCUUCUCUCAUG